rnacentral:rRNA from 1 species
AUUGAACGCUGGCGGGAUGCUUUACACAUGCAAGUCGAACGCGUGGCGGACGGGUGAGUAAUAUAUCGGAACGUGCCCAGUAGCGGGGUCUAACUAGUCGAAAGAGUGGCUAAUACCGCAUACUAUGGGAGCGGCCGAUAUCGGAUUAGCUAGUUGGGGGGGGAAAGGCACACCAAGGCAACGCUCCGUAGCUGGUCUGAGAGGACGACCAGCCACACUGGGACUGAGACACGGCCCAGACUCCUACGGGAGGCAGCAGUGGGGAAUUUUGGACAAUGGGGGAAAGCCUGAUCCAGCCAUGCCGCGUGUAUGAGAAGGCCUUCGGGUUGUAAAGUACUUUUGGUAGAGAAGCGGUAUCUGCAGAAUAAGCACCGGCUAACUACGUGCCAGCAGCCGCGGUAAUAC